rnacentral:rRNA from 1 species
CCUACGGGUGGCAGCAGUGAGGAAUAUUGGUCAAUGGACGAGAGUCUGAACCAGCCAAGUCGCGUGAAGGAUGACUGCCCUAUGGGUUGUAAACUUCUUUUAUACAGGAAUAAAAUGUUCCACGUGUGCGCUUUUGUAUGUACUUUAUGAAUAAGGAUCGGCUAACUCCGUGCCAGCAGCCGCGGUAAUACGGAGGAUCCGAGCGUUAUCCGGAUUUAUUGGGUUUAAAGGGAGCGUAGGUGGAUUGUUAAGUCAGUUGUGAAAGUUUGCGGCUCAACCGUAAAAUUGCAGUUGAUACUGGCAGUCUUGAGUACAGUAGAGGUAGGCGGAAUUCGUGGUGUAGCGGUGAAAUGCUUAGAGAUCACGAAGAACUCCGAUUGCGAAGGCAGCUCACUAAACUGCAACUGACAUUGAGGCUCGAAAGUGUGGGUAUCAAACAGGAUUAGAUACCCCUGUAGUC